AAUGCAUAAAGACGCAGAGACCAUCGCUGUGAUAAUCGAUUCAGCAGCAGAAGCAGCCAAUGAAUUACAGAAGCUAACAGUUGAUAAACAUGAGGAAGUGGAGAGUCAAAACCGUUUGCAUGAUUGAAUGGGCAAUAACAUGGACGAAUCAAGGGGCAUAAUGUCAGGAACCACGGAUCAAUUCUAGAUGGUACAUAAGCCAGAACUACUUUACAGUCAUAUUUGUUCUACUUCCUUAGCUGCGUGGAAAUGGCUGAGCAUAAUAAAAUUAUUGCUAUGCAGAUUUACCGCUUUUAAACUCUUCAAACAAAUGAUUGGAACGAGGGGCAGUGAGUUAAGUUGUCUUCCUGCCAAAUUUAGUACACUUACAAAUCUUGGUCAGCUUCCAUUGAGGGUCCUUGGAUACUUGAAGCAAAGUUGAAGGAGAAUUGUGAGAACCUCACCUUCGAAGUCUUUGAUUAACAAUGGGAGUUGGGCACGCAAAAAAUGCUUGGAAUGGCACUGCAAGUGCGAUGAUCCUGGUCUUUUCUUAAGUAGCAAAGAACUCAUGGUUUACAGUAUCUGCUAUGAGAUGACCUGUGAUUGAAUGUGCACUACGUGCUUACCAUAUUGUGGUGAUUUUAGUGAGUAAAUAUUGAGUGGAAGCAAUUGGUAGAA